UCUGUCUUCUGGCCGAACUAUACAUUUCCACAUUCCACGAAACGCGUAGUACGGGAAAACUUGAUUUGUAAUAAAAAUUUUAUAUAUUAACCGUAGCCAAGAGAGCAAAUUGUGAGGCGUGUUAAGCAAGAUAUAUGGUAACCACCCGACUAGACCUCUAUAGUGUCUCACCACUUCAUAUACGAUACACAUGUUAUGCCCUGAUGUCUACUCAAACUAUACAGAAUGGAGGAUCGUAGAAAUCGAUUUUUCACUACGCUGCAAUACGUGCGGAACUCUGUCAUGGAAAUGCUAUUAACAUCAUAAAGGCUUGCAAAAUACGUUAGUGACGUCAUCGAACGAGGGCAGCCUCAUGCGGGAUGACGUCACGCAUGUCGCAUUACAUCACAAAUCAUGCAUGUAUUUUAUUUUAUGUCGUACGUUAGCUUUUGUUUGAAAUGUAUGUCACUUGCGUUGGUUUUAUAAUUGUAAAGGCAGGUUCUAGGUUCUACCUUAUAAUAAGAAAAUAUCUUUAAAGAUAGAUACAAUCUUUAAGAUUACGUUAUAUAUUUAUUUUUUAAUAAGGAUUGACUUAAUGUAUAGUAUUACUAUAAUAAUUUAUUAAUAUAAUAAAGCUAAGUUCGUACCACGGACAUAAAUACUGUCUAUGGUUAGAGAAAAUAAACGCUUUCUUACAGAAAAUCAUAACAUCAAUACUCUGAACACCUACACUUUACUCUUUCACCAGUUAAUGUACUAUAAUAGGACUUGUAAUAUAAAUGUAAUUUUCUAUUUAAAAUAGGCCAUAUGCAACUACGUAACGCAGAAUUCACUUUGUUAACGUUGCGUUAAAAAUUAAAAAUGAUUUAGGGUUAUCCAAAAAAACGAUCACUGAUUACACACGAGUUUGUCUUAAAACAUUAAUAUAUUUACAGUUAAGUUUAUAUCACAGCAUAAAUAACUACGAUAAGUCGUUGCUUAGUCACGUUAAAUUUAAAAUAUAACACGCAACUAUAAUCGUAAUAGGAAUACAGAAAAUUAAUUUUUCAACAGAACGAAAAAAAUGUUUUAAAUUAAGAUGUUUCGUUGUGAAGACGAACAGUCUACCAGCAGAUUAUUAAAAUAGACGAAUGCCAAUGACCAUGGGUAUGUAAAAAUAUAUUGUAUUUAGCCGUCAACGAUAUGUAACAUUAUUGGGAAACAAAAUUUAAAAACUAACACAACAACCAUCACAGAUAACAAAUAGUUACAUUCAUUCAAUUUAAAAUGA